UACUUCAGAACAAAUCCCUCAGUUCUUUGUUUUUUGUUUUUUUCUGUUCAGGUCUCUUCAUUUUGCCUCUGCUGUCGGUGCCCCCUCUGAGAUACCCAUUCUGCUGCGCACAGAUGUCCUCCAAGUGUGUCUGCCACUGGAAUCUCCAACUUGCCCUGAAGAGGAAAUCUUGCCUCUCAUCCAUUCCUGAUCCAGGUAUCCCCUGCUUCCCAGCACAGAUGCUUGCCUCCACUUCCCUGUCCCAGCCUGGGCACGGUGUGUGGCCCGACACGUGGCAGGAGGAGAGCCCAAUGGGUUGCUUGCUGAGCCCUGAGGCAGGGGCCCUGAUUACGUGUGAGGGUCUACACUUGUCCCAUGAGUCUUCUUCACUUUCUCAUUUGUGGAACAGAAGAAUGAGGAUGUACCUGACUGGAUGCCUGCAAAGGGUCUUCCAGGAAUGUACAGCAGUGGUGGAGGGAAGCAGAGGGAGCUCUGCCUUUGUGAAGGAGACUGGACAUAAUUAGAGGUUUUAGCAUCAAUAUCAUCUCCACAGAUAGGAAGUCCCUGAUGACCUGCUUGAAGUAUACUCCCUGUCAUGGAUUGAAUUAUGUCCUCCCGAAAAUGUGUAUAUCAAUUUGGCUGGGCCAUGAUUUCCAGCAUUGUGUUGUUGCCUUCCAUUUUGUGAUUGUAAUUUUAUGUCAAAAGGAUUAGGGUGGGAUUGUAACACCACCCUUACCCAGGUCACAUUCCUAAACCGAUGUAAAGGGAGUUUCCCUGGGGUGUGGCCUGCACCACUUUUUAUCUUACAAGGGAUAAAAGGAACGGGAAGCAAGCAGAGGGGGGACUUCAUACCACCAAGAAAGCAACACCAGGAGCAGAGCGUGUCCUUUGGACCUGGAGUCCCUGCACCUGAGAAGCUCCUCAACCAGAGAAAGAUUGAGGACAAGGACCUUCCUCCAGAGCUGUCAGAGAGAGAAAGCCUUCCCCUGGAGCCGACGUCCUGAAUUUGAAUUUUUAGC